UACGGAGGGGGCGAGCUUUGUUCAGAAUUACUGGGCGUAAAGCGCGCGUAGGCGGACCUGCAAGUCGGGGGUGAAAGCCCGAGGCUCAACCUCGGAACUGCCUUCGAUACUGCGGGUCUCGAGUCCGGGAGAGGUGAGUGGAAUUCCUAGUGUAGAGGUGAAAUUCGUAGAUAUUAGGAAGAACACCAGUGGCGAAGGCGGCUCACUGGCCCGGUACUGACGCUGAGGUACGAAAGCUAGGGGAGCGAAUGGG
rnacentral:rRNA from 1 species